rnacentral:lncRNA from 1 species
ACUUUACUUCUAACAAGCUAAAGCUGAACAAAGAAUAACAAUAAAAUUCACAAUAGAAAAAAAUAUGUAUAAGCAAAAGAACAAGAUUUUGAAGACCCAGAAAAGGAAGGAGCAUUACUUGAGCACCAGAUAAAACUGAGGCAAUUGAUAAAGCAAUACUAGGCUUCUCUGCUACCUGUAAAAAAUAUAAAUUCCCAAAAUACUUAACAAUAAUCUUGAAUAAAUGGAAUUAAAAUAAUAAUAAUAAUAAUAAUAAUAAUAAUAAUAAUAAUUAAUUAAUUUAAGGGUACAGAUUAAGGAGAAGGGAGUUAUGAAUCUCUCUUACCAUGAGAACUUUUGGAGCCAUUUUUUUAUUUUUGCAGCAAAAGUUUCUGUACUUUGGAGUUAGAAGUAUAUGUAUGUAUGACCUGUGCGCCAAAGGGUUGCGUUGGAUCUCAAAUGGUUGGUCGCAUUCAUAAACUGCGAUUAAUAACUCGUAUUAGGCAAUGCGAUUUAUAACACUAUUAGUAACUCAACUCAUUAAUCGCUGGGCUGGCCGGGCAUAUUAGCCAGGUUUGGACUCAAAUUUCCACCCCUAUUCAGAGCACAUUUUCCUGUUUCACUAUUCCACAAAGAUUGGGAAACAUACAAGUGGGGACAAAAUGUAAGCCAUAGUGAAGUUUAAC